UAUUCUGCCCCACGGGGAAGGAUGAGAAGCUUCGACUAAGGUUCGACUCGAGCGAAGCGAGAGAACGUUGCCGCAGGCAACGGCCCGAAGGGCGAGGAGAGAUAGCGACGAGUUAUCCUUCCCCCACCACCA
rnacentral:sRNA from 2 species